rnacentral:misc_RNA from 1 species
UCCUCCUUGGCUUUCGCUUCCAUCUUUAGCUCUUCAAUCAUGUCCUCUUCCUCUGCCUUCCAAUACAGUCCAUCCCGAUGAGUCUUCCGAAUGAGAUCAUCAAGCUCAGUCUUGAUAGCAAGAUACAGCUUCUUCCACUUAUCAACAGCCUCAUCUCUCCGCACUCUCUCCUCCCUCAUUUGCUCAACCAAGAAGGUUGAAGCCAACCUUGAAAAUGGCCAAUUUUUCUCGCUUUUCUCCCCCACCAACCCAUCUUCCGUUUCUCUAAUUCUCACUUCCUUCUCUUCCAACAUCUUUCUCAAUCUCUUCACUUCCUCUUUAAGCCUCUUCCUCUCUUGCUUCCAUUCGGCUUCUUUAAAUGCAAAAACCAUCAUGUCUCUCUCAUAAGCUCUAC